rnacentral:rRNA from 1 species
UACGGAGGGGGUUAGCGUUGUUCGGAAUGACUGGGCGUAAAGCGCGCGUAGGCGGAUCAGGAAGUUGGGGGUGAAAUCCCGGGGCUCAACCCCGGAAUGGCCUUCAAAACUCCUGGUCUUGAGUUCGAGAGAGGUGAGUGGAAUUCCGAGUGUAGAGGUGAAAUUCGUAGAUAUUCGGAGGAACACCAGUGGCGAAGGCGGCUCACUGGCUCGACACUGACGCUGAGGUGCGAAAGCGUGGGGAGCAAACAGGAUUAGAACCUACGUAGUCAGAUCCAAGACCAUCUGUCACCUACGAUACACUCACCGUGACC